rnacentral:lncRNA from 1 species
UUUUUUUGUUGUCUUUUUAGGGCCUUACAUGAGGCAUAUGGAAGUUCCCAGGCUAAGGGUCAACUUAGAGCUGCAACCACAGCUCUGUAACCACAGCUACACCAAAGCCACAGCAAUGCUGGAUCUGAGCCAUGUCUGCAACCUACACCACAGCUCAUGGCAACGCCAGAUCCUUAACCCCACUGAUUGAGGCCAGGGAUCGAACCCACAUCGUCAUGGAUAUUAGUCAGGUUCAUUACCACUGAGCCACAACGGGAACUCUGGUUUUUAUUCUUUCUACUAUUUUUCUCUACUUACUAAUUUCAUCUCUCAUCUACACUGACUUUAGGAUCCAAUACCAUUACUCCUUUCUGUAAGAUAUACCACUGUCCUAAGUACCCAUAUGACUUGGAUCUAUUUCUUAUUCUAUUCUCUACCUCUUAUCAAGACAGAUCAAACUUGAUUCAUACAUAAGACUUUAUUAUUAAAGUACUGAGGAGGAUCUCAUUAGAGGGAAAUGGGGCUUUGGCAGUAGCAUUAAUCCAGAAGUUCCAGAACAUAUAUUUAGUUAAUACAUGGCCAAAUAAGAAACAUAGCAACCUGCAACAUGAUAACAUGUGUAUGAAUUCAUGUUCACAACCCUCCCUUCAGAAUAUAUGUUCUAUAAGGGCAAUACGUUUUGUCUCUUCUGUUUGGUGCUGUUAUCUCAAAUGCCUACAAUUGAACUGGGUACAUAAUAAGGGCUCAAUAAACAUUCACUGAAUAAAUUUGUUUCCAAACCUUCUGAUAAAAUCAGCAUUUCUAGGUAUAGCUUAUUAGCACAAGCUCAAGAAAUUAAAAAAAAAAAAAAAAAAAAAAACAAAAAACUUUCUUCUUCUCUGAUGAUGCUUCCUCUCCCCUGUGCCUGGUCAUGUCUCAGGCCUUAUUCUCAUUCAGUUCCUUGACAUUCUGGGAUCAAAGAAACUUUGUUGUGGCUUUAUCUCUGAUUGUUUUCUCAAUGUAGCAACAUCCUGAUGUUUGGCCAGACUUGCAUUCUUUAAAAGGAAUAGGUUUCUUUUCUUUUCUUUCUUUCUUUUUUAAUGGCGAACAAGUCGUUGUAAAAACACUGGCACUUCAUUUCUCAAAAGUUCCUUCACUUGCUCCUUCAGCAUAAAGUAACAGACCCAAGCUGGUUAAAUGCUGCACCUAACUUCCUGUAGCCCACUCUGGACUUCAAGAAUAAAAUACUUGAACAAAUAUUUAGCUAUCACCUAAAAUCAAAUAGGGUAAUAGGUGGAUUCAUCAUUAGAAUUAGGCUUAUGUUUUUAUCUCCUAAUGGGAAAUUGCUUCAACAUGUUAUACUUUAAUAAUAAGACUUUUAGCAGUUAGAAGUAAUGAAACUGUAGUUAAAUUUUCUUCCACAAUGACUGAAUUGCAUAGGAUUAUUUUUCCCUUAUUUAAGUAACACUGACAGAACAAUAAAGAUACGUAUUUCUUCAAGAUCUUAAACAUCUUUCAUAUACAAACAGAACUUCAAGAACAGCAACUUUUCUGAAGUGGGUAACUCAAAUUUUUAUGUAUACACCCAUAUAACCAGCACCCAGAACAAGAUAAAGAACGUUCCCAGGCUCCAAACUGGCCCCUUUGUACUGCACAUCAUAGGCAGAUAGAUAAUCUCCUAAGAUAACCACUAUUCUAACUACUACAUAAAUCAAUUUUACCUAUUUUUGAACUUCAUGUAAAUGGAAACUCACAUCAUAGACUCAUUUGUGUCUGGAUUUUUUACACCAGACCCAAUAUUUGUGAGAUUCAACCACGCUGUUUCUGCAGUCUGUUCCUUUUGAUUAUCUCUCUGUUCCCCAGUUGAUGAGCAUUUGGAUUUAUUUCCACCUUUGGGUUAUUAUUACAAACAGUGCUACUACAAACAUUUUCACAGUCUUCUGGUGUGAUUUUCUUAAGUAUAUAACUUCUUUCUGUUGCAUAUAUAUACCCCCAGGUGUGGAUGUGAUGGGUCAUAAGGCAGGCAUAUAUUUUUCUAAGUAGCUGCAACAAACAGUUUUCCCAAGUGACUAUACUUGCUUACACUCUCAUCAACAUUAAGAGUUCCAGCUGCUUCAUAUCCUUGCCACCAUUGUAUUGUCCAUCCAUUUAAUAAGAAUUAUUCUGGUGGAAAGGUAAGGGUAUCUCACCAUGGUUUUAUUUUAUUUUAUUGGCUCUUUUAUUUUUUAGGGCCACACCCACAGCACAUAAAAGGUUCCCAGGCUAGGGGUCGAAUCGGAGCUGCAGCUACUGGCCUACCCCACAGCCACAGCAAAGCCAGGUCCAAGCUGCAUCUGUGACCUACACCACAGCUCACGGCAAAGGCAGAUCUUUAACCUACUGAGAAGGGGCCAGGGAUUAAACCCGAGUCCUUAUGGAUAGGAGUCGGGUUUGUAACCACUAA